rnacentral:tRNA from 1 species
GGGGAUUUAGCUCAGUGGCAUAAGCACCUGCCUUGCAAGCAGGCGGUCGUGAAUUUGAUCCCUG